CUGACGAGUGCCAAAUAGGACGAAACGCGCGUC
rfam:Schistosoma mattheei strain Denwood, Zambia genome assembly, scaffold: SMTD_scaffold0014781